GAUUUCUGACGAAACUGCUAGCUGGCCCGCCACGUCAGUGUGUGAGUGCCGGCUUGGCGUUUGUCAUCCGUUCGAACGAUAUGCGCGCUGCCCUUCACUGGGUUGGCGCUGCAUGUUUUCGAUCUUUUACUUUGAAAAAAUUAGAGUGUUUAAAGCAGGCUUACGCUAUGAAUACAUUAGCAUGGAAUAAUAAUAUAGGACUUUGGUUCUAUUUUGUUGGUUUCUAGGACUGAAGUAAUGAUUGAUAGGGAUAGUUGGGGGUGCUAGUAUUCAGUGGCCAGAGGUGAAAUUCUUGGAUUCACUGAAGACUAACUACUGCGAAAGCAUU
rnacentral:rRNA from 1 species